UAUAUUGAACUCCUAAUCCAGCUUAGGGAUAGUAACGGGUAGGGUUUGGGUAGGAUAUUGUACUACCCAUCUUCAAAUCCGAACUUAAUACUCUAUAUCUAAAUCCUAUCCGAUAUCCGAAUGGAUAAAAAAAAGGAUACCCAUCUCCAUACCCAAUGGGUUUCGGGAUACCCAUGGAUAACCCAUUUUUCAUAUCCAACCCAUACCCACCUCA
rnacentral:lncRNA from 1 species